UACGGAGGGGGCUAGCGUUGUUCGGAAUUACUGGGCGUAAAGCGCACGUAGGCGGCUUUGUAAGUUAGAGGUGAAAGCCCGGGGCUCAACUCCGGAAUUGCCUUUAAGACUGCAUCGCUAGAAUUGUGGAGAGGUAAGUGGAAUUCCAAGUGUAGAGGUGAAAUUCGUAGAUAUUCGGAAGAACACCAGUGGCGAAGGCGACUUACUGGACACAUAUUGACGCUGAGGUGCGAAAGCGUGGGGAGCAAACAGG
rnacentral:rRNA from 1 species